rnacentral:rRNA from 1 species
GUCAACGGUACAGGUCUUCGGAUCCUGACGAGUGGCGGACGGGUGAGUAAUGCGUAGGAAUCUGUCUUUGAGUGGGGGACAACCAGGGAAACUUGGGCUAAUACCGCAUAAGCCCUGAGGGGGAAAGCGGGGGAUCUUCGGACCUCGCGCUGGAAGAGGAGCCUACGUCUGAUUAGCUAGUUGGUAGGGUAAAGGCCUACCAAGGCGACGAUCGGUAGCUGGUCUGAGAGGACGACCAGCCACACUGGGACUGAGACACGGCCCANACUCCUACGGGAGGCAGCAGUGGGGAAUUUUUCGCAAUGGGGGCAACCCUGACGAAGCAAUGCCGCGUGAAUGAAGAAGGCCUUCGGGUUGUAAAGUUCUUUCGUGGAGGACGAAAAGGUGGGUGCUAAUAUCGCCUGCUGUUGACGUGAAUCCAAGAAGAAGCACCGGCUAACUCCGUGCCAGCCGCCGCGGUAAUAC